ACAUUUUUCUCACGAACUUUCUUCGACGAARACUGUUAGACAGUACAGGGAAAUGGCCUUCAAAGAGUUCUUCAUUGGAUUGUURGUCAUAGCAGUGAUUUGGCAGACAGCCAACGGGGGAAAAUUGCACAAACGAUGCGUCGAUAAGGGUUGUAAAGUUGAYGGGCAAAUUUAUAAACCUGGUGAAAUUUUCAUCACUGCUGAUUGCACUGGUCGAUGCCAUUGCCAAAAAGAUGGAGUUUACUAYUGCGUUGACCUCUGUCCUCCCCUUGUCCCUCCUACGUGCAACUCUGAUGAAGUUUUGAAGCAUCGUAAAGUUCCAGUAGGUGACGGUAGAUGCUUUUGUUCAGAACCCUACUGUGCAAAGAAAACUCUAUAAARAUCAUCCUAGGACGCUCAGAGAAAAUGAAUCAACCGCUUUUCAAAUGGAUUUUGAUGCAUUUCUUUAAAGUUAUGAAAAUGUUGUUAAUUAUUGUUCAACCUAAUUAGAUUAUCAUUGCAUGUAAUAAACAAAUACAGCUUCGUAUUUAUGUGAGCCUA